UACAGAGGGGGCAAGCGUUGUUCGGAAUUACUGGGCGUAAAGGGCGCGUAGGCGGCCGCCUAAGUCAGACGUGAAAUCCCUCGGCUCAACCGGGGAACUGCGUCUGAUACUGGAUGGCUUGAGAUUGGGAGAGGGAUGCGGAAUUCCAGGUGUAGCGGUGAAAUGCGUAGAUAUCUGGAGGAACACCGGUGGCGAAGGCGGCAUCCUGGACCAACACUGACGCUGAGGAGCGAAAGCCAGGGGAGCAAACGGG
rnacentral:rRNA from 1 species